AGCGGACAGGACGGCUUCGGGGAUGUGGCGGGGCCUUUGUCUCUCGCUGCAGCUGGAGCUGCAGGUCUCGCCUUCACUGCCCUGUGUCCUCUGCUCGCAGAGGCCCAGCCUCUGUGGCCCUGUGACCUGCAGGUAUUGAGAGAUCCACAGCUAAGACGCCAGGUACCCCGGAAGCCUAGAAAUGGCCAGGUGUGGUGUCUUACACCUGUAAUCCCAGCACUGUGGGAAGCCAGGGCAGGUGGAUUGCUUGAGCCCAGGAGUUUGAGACCAGCCUGGUCAACAUGGAAAAUCCCCGUCUCUAC
rnacentral:lncRNA from 1 species